CCGCUUUCCCCUCCCAAGGCGGCGGCGGCGGCGGCGGAGCGGCGGAGCCCCCCAAAUGGCCUGGCCAGAUGCGGCAGGUUUGCUGCUUAGCGCUGCCGCCGCCGCCGCCGCCAGUGGAGAAGGCUCGGUGCAGCAGCUACAGCGACAGCAGCAGCAGCAGCGAGAGGAGCAGCAGCAGCAGCGGCAGCGGCAGCGGCAGCAGCGGCGAGAGCGGCAAGAGCAGCAGCAGCCACAUCAACAGCAGCAGCAUCUCUCGUCCCGCUGCGCCCCCAAAGCCGCGGCCGCCGCAACAGCCGCAGCCCCGCAGCCCCGCAGCCCCGAGAGCCGCCGCCCGCUCGCGAGCCGCAGCCGCCGGAGGCAUGAGGCGCGACCCGGCCCCCGGCUUCUCUAUGCUGCUCUUCGGUGUGUCGCUUGCCUGCUACUCGCCUAGCCUCAAGUCGGUGCAGGACCAGGCGUACAAGGCGCCCGUGGUGGUGGAGGGCAAGGUACAGGGGCUGGCCCCGGCCGGCGGCGGCUCCAGCUCCAACAGCACCCGCGAGCCGCCCGCCUCGGGUCGGGUGGCGCUGGUGAAGGUGCUGGACAAGUGGCCGCUCCGGAGCGGGGGACUGCAGCGCGAGCAGGUGAUCAGCGUGGGCUCCUGCGCGCCGCUCGAAAGGAACCAGCGCUACAUCUUUUUCCUGGAGCCCACGGAGCAGCCCUUGGUCUUUAAGACAGCCUUUGCCCCUCUCAACACCAACGGCAAAAACCUCAAGAAAGAGGUGGGCAAGAUCCUGUGCACUGACUGCGGUGAGUUGCCCCCUCUCUCUGCUGGAGAAAGGGGGGAGGGGCGAGGUGGUGGAAGAUGGGGGUGGGGCGAGAGGUAUCUGCAGGUGCCCGGGCCUGGCAGCGCCCCGGGCCGCUGGUGA